GGCUCGGUAGCAGAGGGUCCGCAUCUGCUUUCGCAGCGUAUUGAUUGUCAUACACAGCAGACAGUGCCUGUUUGACUCAGGCCCGAGCCA